rnacentral:rRNA from 1 species
GACGAACGCUGGCGGCGUGCUUAACACAUGCGAGUCGAACGCUGAAGCUCAGCUUUUGUUGGGUGGAUGAGUGGCGAACGGGUGAGUAACACGUGAGUAACCUGCCUCCUUCUUUGGGAUAACGCCCGGAAACGGGUGCUAAUACUGGAUAUUCACUGGUCUUCGCAUGGGGGUUGGUGGAAAGGGUUUUUCUGGUGGGGGAUGGGCUCGCGGCCUAUCAGCUUGUUGGUGGGGUGAUGGCCUACCAAGGCUUUGACGGGUAGCCGGCCUGAGAGGGUGACCGGUCACAUUGGGACUGAGAUACGGCCCAGACUCCUACGGGAGGCAGCAGUGGGGAAUAUUGCACAAUGGGCGCAAGCCUGAUGCAGCGACGCCGCGUGAGGGAUGGAGGCCUUCGGGUUGUGAACCUCUUUCGCUCAUGGUCAAGCCGCAACAAUGGUUGUGGUGAGGGUAGUGGGUAAAGAAGCGCCGGCUAACUACGUG